GCAGGCCAGACAAUCGCGUGCUGCGGGGGUACCCGGGGCAUGAGGAAAGUCCGGGCUCCGCAGGGCAAGGAUGCCGGAUAACGUCCGGCGUGGGUAACCAUAGGGAAAGUGCAACAGAAACAUUCCGCCGAAACAGGUAAUGCUGUGGUAAGGUUGAAAUGGUGAGGUAAGAGCUCACCGGCGUCAUGGAGACAUGGCGGCCGUGUAAACCCCAUCCGGAGCAAGGUCGAAAUGGGCGUAAAAGGCGGCGGCCCGUCGCUGCCCGACAGGUGGACCGCAUGAGCGAGCAGUAAUGUUUCGCCACAGAUAGAUGAUUGUCUAAUACAGAACCCGGCUUACAGACCUACCCGU
rnacentral:RNase_P_RNA from 1 species